rnacentral:lncRNA from 1 species
CGCACGUCCACAAGGGGCGAGUUAGUCGGACAACGCACGUCCACAAGGGGUGAGUUAGUCGGACAACGCUACAACAUACGUCUUCAGGGGGUGAGUUAGUCGGACAACGCUACAACAUACGUCUUCAGGGGGUGAGUUAGUCGGACAACGCUACAACAUACGUCUACAAGGGGUGAGUUAGUCGGACAACGCACGUCCACAAGGGGUGAGUUAGUCGGCCAAUGCUACAACAUACGUCCACAAGGGGUGAGUUAGUCAGACAACGCUACAACAUACGUCCACAAGGGGCGAGUUAGUCGGACAACGCACGUCCACAAGGGGCGAGUUAGUCGGACAACGCACGUCCACAAGGGGCGAGUUAGUCGGACAACGCACGUCCACAAGGGGCGAGUUAGUCGGACAACGCACGUCCACAAGGGGCGAGUUAGUCGGACAACGCUACAACAUACGUCCACAAGGGGCGAGUUAGUCGGACAACGCUACAACAUACGUCCACAAGGGGUGAGUUAGUCGGACAACGCACGUCCACAAGGGGUGAGUUAGUCGGACAACGCACGUCCACAAGGGGUGAGUUAGUCGGGCAACGCUACAACAUAUGUCCACAAGGGGUGAGUUAGUCGGACAACGCACGUCCACAAGGGGUGAGUUAGUCGGACAACGCUACAACACACGUCCACAAGGGGUGAGUUAGUCUGACAACGCUACAACAUACGUCCACAAGGGGUGAGUUAGUCGGACAACGCUACAAAAUACGUCCACAAGGGGUGAGUUAGUCGGACAAUGCUACAACAUACGUCCACAAGGGGUGAGUUAGUCGGACAACGCACGUCCACAAGGGGCGAGUUAGUCGGACAACGCACGUCCACAAGGGGCGAGUUAGUCGGACAACGCACGUCCACAAGGGGCGAGUUAGUCGGACAACGCACGUCCACAAGGGGCGAGUUAGUCGGACAACGCACGUCCACAAGGGGCGAGUUAGUCGGACAACGCUACAACGCACGUCCACAAGGGGUGAGUUAGUCGGACAACGCUACAAUAUACGUCCACAAGGGGUGAGUUAGUCGGACAACGCACGUCCAGAAGGGGUGAGUUAGUCGGACAACGCUACAACAUACGUCCACAAGGGGUGAGUUAGUCGGACAACGCACGUCCACAAUGGGUGAGUUUGUCGGACAACGCUACAACAUAUGCCCACAAGGGGUGAGUUAGUCGGACAACACACGUCCAGAAGGGGUGAGUUAGUCGGACAACGCUACAACAUACGUCCACAAGGGGUGAGUUAGUCGGACAACGCUACAACACACGUCCACAAGGGGUGAGUUAGUCGGACAACGCACCUCCACAAGGGGUGAGUUAGUCGGACAACGCACGUCCACAAGGGGUGAGUUAGUCGGACAACACACGUCCACAAGGGGUGAGUUAGUCAGACAACGCUACAACAUACGUCCACAAGGGGUGAGUUAGUCGGACAACGCUACAACAUACGUCCACAAGGGGUGAGUUAGUCGGACAACGCUACAAUAUACGUCCACAAGGGGUGAGUUAGUCGGACAACGCACGUCCACAAGGGGUGAGUUAGUCGGACAACGCUACAACAUACGUCCACAAGGGGUGAGUUAGUCGGACAACGCACGUCCACAAGGGGUGAGUUUGUCGGACAACGCUACAACAUACGCCCACAAGGGGUGAGUUAGUCGGACAACACACGUCCACAAGGGGUGAGUUAGUCGGACAACGCUACAACAUACGUCCACAGGGGGUGAGUUAGUCGGACAACGCACGUCCACAAGGGGUGAGUUAGUCGGACAAUGCUACAACAUACGUCCACAAGGGGUGAGUUAGUCGGACAACGCUACAACAUUCGUCCACAAGGGGCGAGUUAGUCGGACAACGCACGUCCACAAGGGGCGAGUUAGUCGGACAACGCACGUCCACAA